AGAGAGUAAAGAUCACUCCAAAAGAAAAACAAAGUGGUUUAGCCAGUUUUCUUUCACUGCGCGUUCAGCUUAGCCUUGCUUAGCUUCAGGUCCGGCAGCCACAACUGCGAACCUUGUUUUAUGGUGUGUGUUGCGCUGUCCAUGAACUACGUAGCCGGGCGUUGGAUCGCGCCUAGUACCGCUAGUUUAGGGCACGUCAAGAUGUGGACUAGCUCCGAUCAAAUGGACUCAAACUUGAGUCAGUACGUAACUCUCAGGUGGACCACUCUACCACACAGCUAUACGGGGGGUGCUCUGCUGCUGCUUUCAGCUGUUUGUGUUGUAUCGUGGGCCGCGCGAUCUCCAGCCGUUGAAUGAUCUCUCCAUGAACUGCUCGUUGAUCAGAGCUGAGUCAGUUUGGUGUUGUCUCGCGGUUUGUUCGGUCGCGAGUCGGGUGCGUGUGUUCGGGCUUUCGAGAGUUGUUGUUGUUGAUCGCGGUCGGCUCUUUUUUGUUUUAUGUACUUGAGCAGCAUUCAUAUCAAAACUAGCUCGUGAGAAUAAAUUUGAAAAAGAGGGCAAAUAAAAACGUGCAAACGAUAAAGUGAAUUGCAAAAAGCUUCCGUCUGAAAUGAAGCUUCUUCAUUCGUCGUCGUCGUCGUCGUUCCGGUGUUGGUUUUCAUCAUCAUCAUCAUUGCCAAGUUCCAGCUGAUGCAGAUUUGUUUGAAAAGACAAAGCUCCUGUGCGAGGAAAAAAAAUAUUCAUAGUACAUAACAACAACGGCGAAAUGUUGCAGCUUCUGUUUGUAGUGCAUAAAAAGUGAAUUAUGAAGCAUAUUUCUGCGAGUCUCUGGGAGUGAAAGAUAUGAUUCGUUUCUGAUGGAUUCCGUUUAGUUUUAACAAGUGUGCAGCUAGGAAUUUUAUUAGCAUUUCACCAGUGCAUCGCAUUCCGGAGAUUCCAUCGUUAAAAAACAUGUAAGUUAAGCUUUUUAC